UGCAGUCGAGCGGCAGCACGGGAAGCUUGCUUCCUGGUGGCGAGCGGCGGACGGGUGAGUAAUGCAUAGGAAUCUGCCCGAUAGUGGGGGAUAACCUGGGGAAACCCAGGCUAAUACCGCAUACGUCCUACGGGAGAAAGCAGGGGCUCUUCGGACCUUGCGCUAUCGGAUGAGCCUAUGUCGGAUUAGCUGGUUGGUGAGGUAAUGGCUCACCAAGGCGACGAUCCGUAGCUGGUCUGAGAGGAUGAUCAGCCACAUCGGGACUGAGACACGGCCCGAACUCCUACGGGAGGCAGCAGUGGGGAAUAUUGGACAAUGGGCGCAAGCCUGAUCCAGCCAUGCCGCGUGUGUGAAGAAGGCCUUAGGGUUGUAAAGCACUUUCAGUGGGGAAGAAAGCCUUGCGGUUAAUACCCGUGAGGAAGGACAUCACCCACAGAAGAAGCACCGGCUAACUCCGUGCCAGCAGCCGCGGUAAUACGGAGGGUGCGAGCGUUAAUCGGAAUUACUGGGCGUAAAGCGCGCGUAGGUGGCUUGAUAAGCCGGUUGUGAAAGCCCCGGGCUCAACCUGGGAACGGCAUCCGGAACUGUCAGGCUAGAGUGCAGGAGAGGAAGGUAGAAUUCCCGGUGUAGCGGUGAAAUGCGUAGAGAUCGGGAGGAAUACCAGUGGCGAAGGCGGCCUUCUGGACUGACACUGACACUGAGGUGCGAAAGCGUGGGUAGCAAACAGGAUUAGAUACCCUGGUAGUCCACGCCGUAAACGAUGUCGACUAGCCGUUGGGUCCUUCGCGGACUUUGUGGCGCAGUUAACGCGAUAAGUCGACCGCCUGGGGAGUACGGCCGCAAGGUUAAAACUCAAAUGAAUUGACGGGGGCCCGCACAAGCGGUGGAGCAUGUGGUUUAAUUCGAUGCAACGCGAAGAACCUUACCUACCCUUGACAUCCUGCGAACCCUUCGGAGACGAAGGGGUGCCUUCGGGAACGCAGAGACAGGUGCUGCAUGGCUGUCGUCAGCUCGUGUUGUGAAAUGUUGGGUUAAGUCCCGUAACGAGCGCAACCCUUGUCCUUAUUUGCCAGCGGGUAAUGCCGGGAACUCUAAGGAGACUGCCGGUGACAAACCGGAGGAAGGUGGGGACGACGU
rnacentral:rRNA from 2 species